rnacentral:rRNA from 1 species
UCGGGUUGUAAAGCACUUUUGUCCGGAAAGAAAUCCUCUGGGUUAAUACCUCGGGGGGAUGACGGUACCGGAAGAAUAAGCACCGGCCAACUACGUGCCAGCAGCGCGGUAAUCGUAGGGUGCGAGCGUUAAUCGGAAUUACUGGGCGUAAAGCGUGCGCAGGCGGUUCGCUAAGACCGAUGUGAAAUCCCCGGGCUUAACCUGGGAACUGCAUUGGUGACUGGCGAGCUAGAGUGUGGCAGAGGGGGGUAGAAUUCCACGUGUAGCAGUGAAAUGCGUAGAGAUGUGGAGGAAUACCGAUGGCGAAGGCAGCCCCCUGGGCUAACACUGACGCUCAUGCACGAAAGCGUGGGGAGCAAACAGGAUUAGAUACCCUGGUAGUCCACGCCCUAAACGAUGUCAACUAGUUGUUGGGGAUUCAUUUCCUUAGUAACGUAGCUAACGCGUGAAGUUGACCGCCUGGGGAGUACGGUCGCAAGAUUAAAACUCAAAGGAAUUGACGGGGACCCGCACAAGCGGUGGAUGAUGUGGAUUAAUUCGAUGCAACGCGAAAAACCUUACCUACCCUUGACAUGGACGGAAGGCCGCUG